rnacentral:rRNA from 1 species
UACGAGGGGUGCGAGCGUUGUUCGGAUUAAUUGGGCGUAAAGGGUGCGUAGAUGGCGCGUUAAGUUCGUUGUUAAAUUUCCCGGCUUAACCGGGAGCAAGCAAUGAAAACUGGCAUGCUUGAGGGUGGGAGAGAGAAGUGGAAUUCCCGGAGUAGCGGUAAAAUGCGUAGAUCUCGGGAGGAACACCGAUAGCGAAGGCAGCUUCUUGGCCCAUUCCUGACAUUGAGGCACGAAAGCGUGGGGAGCAAACAGG